rnacentral:rRNA from 1 species
UCGUCUCAAAGAUUAAGCCAUGCAUGUCUAAGAAUAAAUAAAUAAAUAGUAAGUCUGCGGACGGCUCAUUAAAUCAGUUAAAAUCUACAAAGCAAUUUUAUUAUGGAUAACUGUAGUAAUUCUAGAGCUAAUACAAUCAAAAAAACGGUUCGUUGAAUCGUCAUAAAAGAGGAAAUUCCUUCAAUUAAAGUGAACUACUCUUUACUGUGGAAUCGCCAAUGUUGGUGAUAUGUUUUAUGAUUUUCUGCCCUAUCAACUUUUGACGGUAGUGUCGUGGACUACCGUGGUUUCGACGGGUAACGGGGGAUAAGGGUUCGAUUCCGGAGAGGGGGCCUGAGAAAUGGCCACCACUUCUAAGGAAGGCAGCAGGCGCGCAAAUUACCCAAUCUCAAUUCGAGGAGGUAGUGACAAGAAAUAGUAAUGCCUUGAUUCAUAAGAAUCUGGCAAUUGCAAUGAACUAAUUAUUAAUUCAUUAAUGAGGAACAAUUGGAGGGCAAGUCUGGUGCCAGCAGCCGCGGUAAUUCCAGCUCCAAUAGCGUAUAUUAAAUUUGCUGCAGUUAAAAAGCUCGUAGUCCAUGUCGGAAGACAGGUCCUGUUUUUAAUUAUUCAAUAAUUAAGAGCGGUUUGACCGUCUUCAUUUUACAGAUAUCGGGCGGAGGCUAUUAAGUUAGCGCUGUCUGUUAGUCAAGUAACUACUUUGAGGAAAUUAGAGUGUUUCAAGCAUGCAAUUUUGCAUGAAUAUAUUAGCAUAGGAUAGUGACUAUAUUAUAUUUCAUCCGAAGGAGGUGGAAUAUAUUAUUUUAAUAGGGAUAGUCGGGGAUGUUUAUAUUUAAUAGUCAGAGGUGAAAUUCUUAGAUUUGUUAAGGAUAAUCAAAUGCGAAGGCAUUCAUCAAGUAUGUUUUCAUUGAUCAAGAACGAUAGUUAAGGGAUCGAAGACGAUCAGAUACCGUCGUAGUCUUAACCGUAAAGUAUGCCGACCAGGAAUUAGGAGAUGUUAAUAUGGAUGACUCCCCUAGCGCCUUAAGAGAAAUCUAAAGUCUUUGGGUUCUGGGGGGAGUAUGGUCGCAAGGCUGAAACUUAAAGGAAUUGACGGAAGGGCACACCAGAAGUGGAGCCUGCGGCUUAAUUUGACUCAACACGGGAAAUCUCACCAGGUCCGGACAUUAGCAUGAUUGACAGAUUAAAGAUCUUUCAAGAUUUGAUGGGUGGUGGUGCAUGGCCGUUCUUAGUUGGUGGAUUGAUUUGUCUGCUUUAUUGCGAUAACGAACGAGACCUCACUCUACUAACUAGUCAUCCGUGCAUAUGUGUGGUUGAAGUAUUAAAUAGAGAACGCCGAUUUAUCGGAAGUUGCUUUUAAUAUGGAAGCUUGUAUGAUGCGGCUGUACUUCUUAGAGAAACCAAUAUUCACAAAAAUAGAGGAAGCGAGGCAAUAACAGGUCUGUGAUGCCCUUAGAUGUUCUGGGCCGCACGCGCGCUACAAUAUAUUGUGUAAAGUGUCGCUACCGCAAGGGGCCGCUUUACAGGAAUGUGAGGCUAACCUCCAUUCCGUCUUUUUAACUGGAAUAGAUGAUUGAAAUUAUUUGUCUUGAACGAGGAAUUUCUAGUAGUCGUAGUUCACUAAACUACGUCGAUUACGUCCCUGCCCUUUGUACACACCGCCCGUCGCUUCUACCGAUUGAAUGCUCCGGUGAAAUCGUCAGAUUUGUUUUGGUCAGUGGGGCAACCCAGCGGCUUUGAUAGAAAAGGCGAGUAAACCAUAGUAUUUAGAGGAAGAAGAAGUCGUAACAAGG